CAGCACCUCAAGUGGUCAGGAUGAUUAUUGGGCCUAAAGCAUCCGUAGCCGGCGCUGUAAGUUUUCGGUUAAAUCUGUACGCUCAACGUACAGGCUGCCGGGAAUACUGCAGCGCUAGGGAGUGGGAGAGGUAGACGGUACUCGGUAGGAAGGGGUAAAAUCCUUUGAUCUAUUGAUGACCACCUGUGGCGAAGGCGGUCUACCAGAACACGUCCGACGGUGAGGGAUGAAAGCUAGGGGAGCGAACCGGAUUAGAGACCCGAGUAGUCC
rnacentral:rRNA from 1 species